AGAGUUUGAUCCUGGCUCAGAAUCAACGCUGGCGGCGUGCCUCAGACAUGCAAGUCGAACGAGAAAGUUCCCUUCGGGGAAUGAGUAAAGUGGCGCACGGGUGAGUAACACGUAGGUAAUCUACCUUCGGGUGGGGAAUAACCCAGGGAAACUUGGGCUAACACCGCAUAAUGCAGCGGCACCACAUGGUGACAGUUGUUAAAGCGGGGGAUUUUAGGACCUCGCGCCUGAAGAGGAGCCUGCGGCGGAUUAGCUAGUUGGUAGGGUAACGGCUUACCAAGGCGACGAUCUGUAACCGGCCUGAGAGGGCGGUCGGUCACACUGACACUGACAUACGGGUCAGACUCCUACGGGAGGCAGCAGUCGGGAAUUUUGGGCAAUGGGCGAAAGCCUGACCCAGCAACGCCGCGUGAAGGAUGAAAUCCCUCGGGAUCUUUUUUCCAAGAAUGGGAAGAAUUAGUAGGGGCUAAUACCCUCUAUGAUGACGUACCAUUAGCCCGAUG
rnacentral:rRNA from 1 species